rnacentral:rRNA from 1 species
ACAUGCAAGUCGAACGGCAGCACGGGAGCAAUCCUGGUGGCGAGUGGCGAACGGGUGAGUAAUAUAUCGGAACGUGCCCAGUCGUGGGGGAUAACGUAGCGAAAGCUACGCUAAUACCGCAUACGAUCUAUGGAUGAAAGCGGGGGAUCGCAAGACCUCGCGCGAUUGGAGCGGCCGAUAUCAGAUUAGGUAGUUGGUGAGGUAAAGGCUCACCAAGCCGACGAUCUGUAGCUGGUCUGAGAGGACGACCCAGCCACACUGGGACUGAGACACGGCCCAGACUCCUACGGGAGGCAGCAGUGGGGAAUUUUGGACAAUGGGCGCAAGCCUGAUCCAGCAAUGCCGCGUGCAGGAUGAAGGCCUUCGGGUUGUAAACUGCUUUUGUACGGAACGAAACGGUGAGCUCUAAUACAGUUUGCUAAUGACGGUACCGUAAGAAUAAGCACCGGCUAACUACGUG